GUGAAUGCAAGCCUAGGUUUUAUUCCAUCAGGUGGGCACAAGAAGAAAGAUGUAUUUUAAUAAAGCAUCUCGCCCUUUGCGGAAGCGUUUGUGUAGAAACCUAUUUCUCUGUUUCUGAAUGGGCUUUAAUCUUCUAAACGCCUUCUGUUUAAAUGCAAAAGCCCCUGGGAGACAUAACUGGAGAGGGAGAAAAAUAUACGCACUGGGGUAGAGUAAUCCUGACGUGCAACACAGGGAAAGCAUAGGAAAUGACUCAAGGAAGGGGGAAAAAAACUGCAUGUCUGACUAUGAGAAGGUAAAAAACAGCCAGCUUAGUACCCUGGCCUCACCAGGGCUCUCACCACCAUACAUCUUUGUGGCCAUUUUUAUUGCUUCUAUUCCAUGUCAGUUUGCCAGUGUAGGCUAGGACUUAAAUGAGUAUUUUGGAUGUACAUAUAAUAGGAAUUUUUUUUUUGGUGAUCAUAAUGUUGUAUUGUCUGAUCAUUAUCACUUAAAUACUCAGGAUGGAAACAAGUUGCAAGAUUAGGAGGCACCGAUAGAAAAUAUCCAGUAAAACCCUUUCUGUAACAGGGUACAUACGAGUUUACAGGGUUAAAAAGAGGAAAUUCCAUAAGUAAAUUAUUUGAUGCAAAAAAUGAGAUCAUCAUCUUGUUUCCAGAUGUUCUAGCUGCUUUCUACUACAGAGGCGAACAAUCCUGAGCUCAGCCUAUUGAGCCAAGUUCCUGCUGUUGAAGCCUCUCAGAACUCAUGUCACUGGGGUUCUUUGUGUCCACUUGAAGGAGCCUUGAGGUGAUCGCAGAAAAAGACAACCAACUACAAGAAAGGCCAUGAUAUCUGCCUGAUUUAGCUUUGUCAGCUGUGGAAAACUGUCUGUGAAGAUUAAUGAAGCUGUGCAUCAUCCACUUUCUUCUCACUUUAAAUGUUCACACGUCUUAUCAUAUGUUCUAUUGCUCUGUAAUCAGGCGUAUGUACACGGAUGACGGCUCUCCCCUCUACCAAUACAAAGUGCCUCUACCUUUGGCAGUAUGUUUAUAACGCAUCUGAUAAUAAACCAGCUAUUCCGGCUUUCUUCUCUUUUCUCUAGACGUAUCUAAUGAAUGACAAAACAAAACAGGCCAUUGCUGGUAUUGCAUUAACUCUGAAGUCUACAACUUUCUCCAAGGACUAUUGGGUGUUGCUCUAGCACACAAUUUACUUGCCUGGAUUCAGUGUUCAAUUUCACACUGUGUGUUUCCUGCAAUAGCUGAUAUCUCGGAUCAUUUUUCCUCCUCUCCUUUUACCCCUCCCCA
rnacentral:lncRNA from 1 species